rnacentral:tRNA from 1 species
GUACUUGUAGCUUAAUUGGAAAAAGCGGUAGACUACGAAUCUAUUGAUUGGGAGUUCGAAUCUUCCCAGGUAUG